UCGCAGUCCUCAUAUCCGCCUAUGGCUUCAUACGCUGUUUAACCCCUAUGUACAGCUCGUCUAUAAUCACAGCUCAUGGGGGCAGAAUACUGAGAAUAAAUACUGAAGAUAAUCAAAAAGGAAACUGCAUUAUUUAUCUUUUUGAGUUUCACGAGUAGGCUACAACAGACUGAAGAAGAUGGGGUGCUGCACGGGGAGGUGUUUGUUGAUAUUAUUCUGUUCAGCUGGUGUUUGAUUUUCUAGGUUACCAGUGGGCACCCAUCCUUGUCAACUUCCUGCACAUCCUUGUGGUGAAAUUGGGCUUGUUUGGGACAGUCCAGUACAGGCCUAGUUUUGGGCAGUGAUUAUCUGUCAAUGGGACUUCCCUCUCACUGGUUAUGGUUGAAGGACAGUGGUCCAGGCUGUGCAAACAGAAACAUCCCAACCACUAUGUGGCAGCAUCUGGAAAGUCUUCCUCUGUUCUCAGAGUUGGGCUGCACGCUUGAGUAUCAAUACAUCGAGGUUGUGCACAGCGCCCUGCAGCUUUUCCUUUCUGUAAAACCCUAAAACACUACUCCAUUAAUUCAAGUGAAGAAAAAUGUGCUACUCCAUACAGCAUUCUAGGGCAUUGUGUGCUUUCAUCUUUGUGGUAACAGUUUGGGGAGAGCCCUUUUUCUAUUCCAGCAUGACAAUGUCCCUGUGCACAACGCGAGUUCCAUUAAGAAAUGGUCUGGUGCAGAAGAACUUGAGUGGCCUGCACAAAGCCCAGACCUGAACCCCAUUAAACAUCUCUGGGGUGAAUUGGAGCACCAGCUGUGAGCCAGGCCUCAUUGCCCAACAUCAGUGCCUGACCUCACUGAUGUUCUUGUGUCUGAAUGGGAGCCAGUCCCUGCAGCCAUGUUACUACAUAUUGUAUAGUGGACUCAAUUCAGUCCCUGCGUGCUGUCUUACUGACAGGCGGCUGUUUUCAUAUGUUCACACGCUUAUUUGAGUGCGUACCUGGUUACCCCUUUUACACCAAAAUGGACAAUUAAUCAAAUUAAAAUGUUAAAUGUCCUAGAGUAAUUAUUAAACCACAAAUGGAUAUGAUUUAAUUAAAUAAACAUACAGUCUGCAUGUACUGCGUGCUGCAAAGGGAAUAUGUGAAGCUGCUCAUAUGCUGAAAACAAUAAAUUUGCAUUGCAUGCUGCGCUUGUUGUAGUAUAUGACAGACAGCGCUCAUUCACUGUGACACACACAGCGCCUGCAGACUAUAUAUUUAUAUAAUUAAAUUGCAUCAUUUUGCACUUUACUAAUCACACUGGGCGAUAUAACCAACUGUGUGAAGCUACCAUCAAAAACGCACACAAACUGAAAAGCCAUCACAUCAAAAUAAAAGCUUGAUGAGUGAGAUUUAAGGAAUUGCGACAGAAAUGCGUUACUACUGUAUAGUAAAAUGUAUUUAAUUAUUAUUGUUAUUGUUAUUACUAUUAUUAUAAACCAAUAUCACACAAGCAAAUGAUCUGUUAAACUGAAUAAAUAUUUUCAUCUAUGUUUUAAUUUAUAAUGUGAUGCUCUGUUGUGCAGCACUUCAUUUGAGAAACAAUGAGACCAAAGUUGUGUUUAAGAUUAUGCUAUGAGGAUCUGAUUUGCUGGAGUGCUUCAUUUGAUAAAAAAAAAAAAAAGAAAGAAAGAAAUGCAAUGGUAAAGUUGAAAAGUAUUGUUGAAAUUGUUGAAAAGUAAUUCUUUUAUUUUCAUUUAAUUUAAGUUUUCUGGAUUUAUUUGAUUAGACAAUUUUAUUGAUGUAAUUUAAUUAAACUUUAAAACAUGUAAUUCAGAAAAAACUAAAACACAGAAUAUGUGGAAAAAUAAAUCAGAAUUUACCAUGAUAAAGUAAAGAGAGCACCCUUAUGUAGAAUUAUGUAGCUUUUUUUUAUUUUUUAUUAAUAAUAUACAAUAAGUCAAAAGUAUGAUCGAUUUCUGUGGCUGUUAAACUUUUAAAUAGAACAAAGUUACUUAGUCCACAUUUAAUAGUCGUGUAAGCAUUAAAGUGGUCACUGUGGCAGUGACAACCACAUCAAGUUUUUUAAUGGUGAAUGUUAUUUAGAUGUUGCUUCAUAGUGAUGCUGUAAUUUUGUGUUUUCCCCUCCCCUGCAUGCUCUGUUGCUUUUCAGUGAAUUUGAGUGUCAGCUUAAUUCAUCUUCCUCCCAGGAACUGCUUAAAAGCCCCUCUUACUUCUUCCUCUGAAAUGCACACAAACACACACAAUGUGUUUCUUGCAACCUGACAAAAGAGUCAAAUAGGAGUACAUACAUGCUUUACAUUUCUGUUUCUAAUUUUCUACCUGUAUUGUGUUAUUUUUCAGAUUUUUAUAAGUAACCGGUGUCUAGAGCUCAUCGACAUUUCAAGAAAGAGAAGGAACAUUGAAAGGGAAAAAGAUAACAGUAUAGACAUCACCAGUUCUCGCGACAGUACCAGUAAUACACAGAGACAUAUUUGCGCUAAUGUGUAUGAGAGUGCUGAGAGUGAAAGUGUCCUGAUGGCCCGAAAAAAACAUGUUGAAAACACAUGUACAGUGCAUCAAACAUCA